AUGCUACCUGAGGAUGACGGAGAGAGAACGAUAUGGUGGUUUGGGCGUACAAUAGUCACAGAGAUGAGAGAUGGAGAGAUAACAGUUGAAGUUGGAAGUUGGAUUGAUGAUGGUCGAAGAUCGGAAAUUGAAGGGAGUAUGAAGUUGGUGAGUGAAAGCUCACAAGAUGAUGAUGGUGUUCAGCAUAUGAUUCGUAAAAGGGCAGUGAAGAUUGAUAGUGGUACGGAAUGGUACCAGUUUACUGCAUGA